AAGAGAAUGGAAAAUUCUUCCAAUUGCUGGGUUACACUAGAUAAAGCUACAUAUCAUAUAAUUUUCGUUGCUGGUCUCUACUUUCUCUUCUUCCUAUUUUCUUCCUCUUCUAUUACCUCUAUAAAAUGUUAUUAGAAUUGGCUCCUCUGUGCAAUUCUGCUCUCUCAGAAUUGUGGAGACAAAAAUGACCUUACACUUUCUCUGAAAAGAAGAGGAUCAUGAGAUUAAUGCUGCUUUCCUGUGCUCGGUUGGUGGAAACAGCAUCAGAGUCUCACUAUAUCAAAGACUGUAAAAAACCGCAUGUAGCACUGAAAAGCACUGUAAAACACUUUGUAUAGCAUAAUGAAAGGCACAAGAUCGCUUAUAUUUCAAAUGCUGGAUUUCCUUUUGUUUUGAGAAGUAUUCUAUUUGCUCUUCUCAGAUAAUUUAAUGAGUGUUGAGCCAGCCUUUGAAAAUGAAGAUUUAUCCCAGGGUGAGACCAGCAGAAGCAAGAGUAAGAUGCAGGCUUGAACAUCCAUUUGGUAUAGCAAUACAAGUCCGCUUUGCUCUGGAUUCACACCUGAUUUAUGCUGGUGUAGAAAUCAAGCUACCACUUAUAUUAGAGAGCAGACAGAUGAAUCUCUAGCUGCUGCGGACUAAUGCAGCUACAUGGUGCAGACUGAGUGAAGCUGAUUUAGUUGGAUGGUCCUCUAAAGUGCAUCUUGAGCAGGCUAAGCGAUGAAGGUUUUAAUUCUUUUUUUUUUUUUUUUUUUCCUUUUUGUAUUCGUAUCAGGAGUCAGAGCAACUGUCUCAUCACUCCCAGCAAUUUGUCUCCAUUACAGGCCUUAGAAAUAAUACGGAUGGAAAUGAGAUGGAAACGAGGUGCUCACUUGUAACUAGACGGUGCAUUUCCAUUUGUGUAGGUACACACGUCACAGAGAUGGUGGCCACGACAACGCAUAAGGACAGACUGAUCUCUUAUAGAGUGGUCCAUGACUGUAACUCAGGCGCUGGAGCAGAAGGUGAUCUUGUGUCCUGCAACAAAAGCCAGAAUACCGGGAGUGUUAGAGGAAAAACAACAAAAGGGAACAGACCAAGGUCAGGCUAAAUGGAAACAAACCAUCAAAAUUCAAGCAGACUAAACUAAACUAGGGUUGGUCAAGAAGAGGAGAAGAAUCUAAACAGGACUGGUGUAGGAAAAC
rnacentral:lncRNA from 1 species